UCCGCCGCAUCAGCAAAUCGCUAUGGCGCUCCCCGGCCAGCAGACCGUCGAGUACCCCAACUUCAAACUUGUCCUCGUCGGCGAUGGCGGCACAGGGAAGACGACAUUCGUCAAACGUCAUCUGACUGGUGAAUUCGAGAAGAAAUAUGAACCAACUAUUGGUGUUGAGGUGCAUCCUCUGGAUUUCUUCACCAAUUGCGGGAAGAUCAGGUUCUACUGCUGGGAUACUGCUGGUCAGGAGAAGUUUGGUGGGCUGCGCGAUGGCUAUUACAUCCAUGGUCAGUGCGCAAUCAUCAUGUUUGAUGUUACUGCACGCCUUACUUACAAGAAUGUUCCUACUUGGCAUAGAGAUCUUUGCCGGGUCUGUGAGAACAUUCCGAUUGUGCUUUGUGGCAACAAGGUUGAUGUGAAGAACAGGCAGGUGAAAGCAAAAAUGGUCACUUUCCACAGGAAGAAGAACCUCCAAUACUAUGAAAUCUCAGCAAAGAGCAACUACAAUUUUGAGAAGCCUUUUCUGUAUUUGGCCAGAAAGCUUGCAGGGGAUCAAAAU
rnacentral:misc_RNA from 1 species